UGCCCGAUUGUGUAAUGGUAGCACGACAGACUCUGACUCUGUUUGUCUGGGUUCAAAUCCUAGUCGGGCAA
rnacentral:tRNA from 1 species